rnacentral:lncRNA from 1 species
AGGCAUUGUUUGUUAUUGAGAAAAACCACUUGGCCAAAAAGUUUUGAAUCAACUAACCUUGUGAGGAGUGAUCCUUAGUUUAACCCCUUUGAGCUUAUUUUAGGAUUCAUUUGAUUGAUAAGUGCAAAUUCCAUUGAAAAUAUUGCGAAUAAAUGAAUCCUAAUUUCUUUCGUUUCAAUUGAACCUUCAACCGAAUUUGGUUGCAAUUUUUGUCCUUUGCCUAUGUCUAAGUAGGGAGCAUUAUUGCAUUAAUUUUAUCUUGAAGUCUAAAGUUGGGAAGAGUAAAUUAGAAGAGUUGAUAAAAAAACUUGGAAAAGUGAUGUUUUAGAAAAGGUGAAAGUGUGAAAAGAAACAAGAAAACUAAGUCACCUUUGAAAUUAUGGAGCAAAGAAAAAGAAAAGAAAGAAAAAACAAAAAGAGAGCUCAUGGUUGUGUGGAUGUUGAAAAAUAAGAAAAAAAGAAAAAUUGGGAUCAAAAAUGGAAUUUGUUGUUGAGUUUGAAUUUAUGGGAAUGCUCCCUUGGGAUAUGCAUUUUUGUUUGAAU